rnacentral:rRNA from 1 species
GACGAACUGUCCAAACGUUGUUCGGAAUCACUGGGCUUAAAGGGCGCGUAGGCGGUCGAUCAAGUCAGGGGUGAAAUCCUGCAGCUUAACUGUAGAAGUGCCUUUGAUACUGGUCGCCUCGAGGGGGGUAGGGGCAGACGGAACUUCCGGUGGAGCGGUGAAAUGCGUAGAUAUCGGAAGGAACGCCGGCGGCGAAAGCGGUCGUGCUGGACCCCCACUGACGCUGACGGCGCGAAAGCCAGGGGAGCAAACGGG